rnacentral:rRNA from 1 species
AUUGAACGCUGGCGGCAGGCUUAACACAUGCAAGUCGAGCGGGGGAAGGUAGCUUGCUACCGGACCUAGCGGCGGACGGGUGAGUAAUGCUUAGGAAUCUGCCUAUUAGUGGGGGACAACAUCUCGAAAGGGAUGCUAAUACCGCAUACGUCCUACGGGAGAAAGCAGGGGAUCUUCGGACCUCGCGCUAAUCGAUGAGCCUAAGUCGGAUUAGCUAGUUGGUGGGGUAAAGGCCUACCAAGGCGACGAUCUGUAGCGGGUCUGAGAGGAUGAUCCGCCACACUGGGACUGAGACACGGCCCAGACUCCUACGGGAGGCAGCAGUGGGGAAUAUUGGACAAUGGGGGGAACCCCGAUCCAGCCAUGCCGCGUGUGUGAAGAAGGCCUUAUGGUUGUAAAGCACUUUAAGCGAGGAGGAGGCUACUCUAGUUAAUACCUAGGGAUAGUGGACGUUACUCGCAGAAUAAGCACCGGCUAACUCUGUGCCAGCAGCCGCAGUAAAAC